rnacentral:rRNA from 1 species
CCUAUCAUGCAAGUCGAGCGCGGGAAGCGAGUGGAUCCCUUCGGGGUGAAGCUCGUGGAACGAGCGGCGGACGGGUGAGUAACACGUGGGCAACCUGCCUGUAAGACCGGAAUAACCCCGGGAAACCGGGGCUAAUGCCGGGUAAUACUUUUCUUCGCAUGAAGGAAAGUUGAAAGAUGGCUUCUUGCUAUCACUUACAGAUGGGCCCGCGGCGCAUUAGCUAGUUGGUGAGGUAACGGCUCACCAAGGCGACGAUGCGUAGCCGACCUGAGAGGGUGAUCGGCCACACUGGGACUGAGACACGGCCCAGACUCCUACGGGAGGCAGCAGUAGGGAAUCUUCCGCAAUGGACGAAAGUCUGACGGAGCAACGCCGCGUGAACGAUGAAGGUCUUCGGAUCGUAAAGUUCUGUUGUUAGGGAAGAACAAGUACCGUGCGAAUAGAGCGGUACCUUGACGGUACCUAACGAGGAAGCCCCGGCUAACUACGUGCCAGCAGCCGCGGUAAUACGUAGGGGGCAAGCGUUGUCCGGAAUUAUUGGGCGUAAAGCGCGCGCAGGCGGUUCCUUAAGUCUGAUGUGAAAGCCCACGGCUCAACCGUGGAGGGUCAUUGGAAACUGGGGAACUUGAGGACAGAAGAGGAGAGUGGAAUUCCACGUGUAGCGGUGAAAUGCGUAGAUAUGUGGAGGAACACCAGUGGCGAAGGCGACUCUCUGGUCUGUUUCUGACGCUGAGGUGCGAAAGCGUGGGUAGCAAACAGGAUUAGAUACCCUGGUAGUCCACGCCGUAAACGAUGAGUGCUAGGUGUUAGGGGGCUUCCACCCCUUAGUGCUGAGUUAACGC